GAUGAACGCUGGCGGCGUGCCUAAUACAUGCAAGUCGAGCGAACGGACGAGAAGCUUGCUUCUCUGAUGUUAGCGGCGGACGGGUGAGUAACACGUGGAUAACCUACCUAUAAGACUGGGAUAACUUCGGGAAACCGGAGCUAAUACCGGAUAAUAUUUUGAACCGCAUGGUUCAAAAGUGAAAGACGGUCUUGCUGUCACUUAUAGAUGGAUCCGCGCUGCAUUAGCUAGUUGGUAAGGUAACGGCUUACCAAGGCAACGAUGCAUAGCCGACCUGAGAGGGUGAUCGGCCACACUGGAACUGAGACACGGUCCAGACUCCUACGGGAGGCAGCAGUAGGGAAUCUUCCGCAAUGGGCGAAAGCCUGACGGAGCAACACCGCGUGAGUGAUGAAGGUCUUCGGAUCGUAAAACUCUGUUAUUAAGAAAGAACAUAUGUGUAAGUAACUGUGCACAUCUUGACGGUACCUAAUCAGAAAGCCACGGCUAACUACGUG
rnacentral:rRNA from 1 species